GACGAACGCUGGCGGCGUGCUUAACACAUGCAAGUCGAACGGAAAGGCCCCUUCGGGGGUACUCGAGUGGCGAACAGGUGAGUAACACGUGAGUAACCUGCCCUUGACUUCGGGAUAACUUCAGGAAACUGGGGCUAAUACCGGAUAGGAAUCCUUGCUGCAUGGUGGGGGUUGGAAAGCUUCGGCGGUUUUGGAUGGACUCGCGGCUUAUCAGCUUGUUGGUGGGGUAGUGGCUUACCAAGGCUUUGACGGGUAGCCGGCCUGAGAGGGCGACCGGCCAAAUGGGGAAGGAGAGACGGCCAAGACUCGAAGGGGAGGAAGAGGGGGGGAAGAUGGAAAAAGGGGGGAAAGCUGGAGGCAGAAAGGCGGGGGGGGGGAGGACGGGCUGGGGGUUGAAAACCGUUUAGAGCGGGGGAAAGGCUUGUGGGGACGGAACCGGAAAAAGAAGGACCGGCAAACUACGGG
rnacentral:rRNA from 1 species